GCCGAAGAAGGUGACAGCCCUGUAGCUGAAACUGUUUUCCCUCCAGAGUGGAUCCUGAGUACGGCGGGACACGUGAAACCCCGUCGGAAUCCGGGAGGACCAUCUCCCAAGGCUAAAUACUCCCUAGUGACCGAUAGUGAACCAGUACCGUGAGGGAAAGGUGAAAAGCACCCCGGAAGGGGAGUGAAAUAGAUCCUGAAACCGUAUGCCUACAAGUAGUCAGAGCCCGUUAACGGGUGAUGGCGUGCCUUUUGUAGAAUGAACCGGCGAGUUACGAUAACGCGCGAGGUUAAGCCGAUGAGGCGGAGCCGUAGCGAAAGCGAGUCUGAACAGGGCGUUCAGUGCGUUGUCGUAGACCCGAAACCAGGUGAUCUACCCAUGUCCAGGAUGAAGGUCAGGUAACACUGACUGGAGGUCCGAACCCACGCACGUUGAAAAGUGCGGGGAUGAGGUGUGGGUAGCGGUGAAAUGCCAAUCGAACCUGGAGAUAGCUGGUUCUCCCCGAAAUAGCUUUAGGGCUAGCCUCGAGGUUGAGAGUUCUGGAGGUAGAGCACUGAUUGGACUAGGGGCCCCCACAGGGUUACCGAAUUCAGUUAAACUCCGAAUGCCAGCAACUUAUACUCGGGAGUCAGACUGCGAGUGAUAAGAUCCGUAGUCAAGAGGGAAACAGCCCAGACCGCCAGCUAAGGUCCCAAAGUGUAUGUUAAGUGGAAAAGGAUGUGGCGCUGCCUAGACAGCUAGGAUGUUGGCUUAGAAGCAGCCACCAUUCAAAGAGUGCGUAAUAGCUCACUAGUCGAGUGGCGCCGCGCCGAAAAUGUAACGGGGCUAAACAUACCACCGAAGCUGCGGAUUCCGUAAGGAAUGGUAGGGGAGCGUUCCAAACCGCUGUGAAGCUGUACCGGAAGGAGCAGUGGAGCGUUUGGAAGUGAGAAUGCCGGUGUGAGUAGCGAAAAGAGGGGUGAGAAUCCCCUCCGUCGAAAGCCCAAGGUUUCCUGAGGAAGGCUCGUCCGCUCAGGGUUAGUCUGGACCUAAGCCGAGGCCGAAAGGCGUAGGCGAUGGAUAACAGGUUGAUAUUCCUGUACCGCCGAUCCACCGUUUGAACAAUGGGGGGACGCAGGAGGAUAGUGACGCAUGCGGAUGGAAGUGCAUGUGCAAGUUUCAAGACCGUCUGAUUGGCAAAUCCGUCAGGCAUCAAAGUCAAGGAACGACGCGGAGUCCCGUAGGGACGUAGGUCACGAUUUCACACUGCCAAGAAAAGCCUCUAGUGAGGGGGAAGGCGCCAGUACCGUAAACCGACACAGGUAGGCGAGAUGAGAAUUCUAAGACGCGCGGGAUAACUCUCGUUAAGGAACUCGGCAAAAUGGUCCCGUAACUUCGGGAGAAGGGACGCUCUACAUGAGUAGAGCCGCAGUGAAUAGGCCCAAACGACUGUUUAGCAAAAACACAGGUCUCUGCUAAAUCGCAAGAUGACGUAUAGGGGCUGACGCCUGCCCGGUGCUGGAAGGUUAAGGGGAUGGGUUAGCGCAAGCGAAGCUUUGAACCGAAGCCCCAGUAAACGGCGGCCGUAACUAUAACGGUCCUAAGGUAGCGAAAUUCCUUGUCGGGUAAGUUCCGACCCGCACGAAAGGCGUAACGAUUUGGGCACUGUCUCAACGAGAGACCCGGUGAAAUCAUAGUACCUGUGAAGAUGCAGGUUACCCGCGACAGGACGGAAAGACCCCAUGGAGCUUUACUACAGCCUGAUAUUGAGGCUUUGUGCAUGAUGUACAGGAUAGGCGGGAGACGUCGAGCCCGGAGCGCCAGCUUCGGAGGAGUCACCCUUGGGAUACCGCCCUUCAUGCAUAGAGUCUCUAACUCGCAGCCGUGAUCCGGCUGGAGGACCGUGUCAGGCGGGUAGUUUGACUGGGGCGGUCGCCUCCUAAACAGUAACGGAGGCGCCCAAAGGUUCCCUCAGAAUGGUUGGAAAUCAUUCGUAGAGCGCAAAGGCAGAAGGGAGCUUGACUGCGAGACCUACAAGUCGAGCAGGGACGAAAGUCGGGCUUAGUGAUCCGGUGGUU
rnacentral:rRNA from 1 species